CAUUUUUGGUUUCAAUGAUGAGAUAAUUCUAAGAAUUUUCAGACUCAAUUUAAAAUAAACCUAUAACUUUUCCAAAUUCCUAAUUUUAUAAUUCCUUGCCCAAUGUUCUGCACUAAAGAUGCAAACUACAUUAUAUUUACAGUAUAAAUGCAGUCUAUAUUUAUUAAAUGUAUGUCUGACCCGGAGUUGGUUCAAAUUAGGGAAGGGAUUAUAUAAGGUUUACUCCUUAUUGUCCGCUAACUGUAGAGAAGACGCAGAACACUGAAUAUGUUGCUAAAAAUACAGAAUUUAAAUUAAAUAGUUUCAGCAGAAGGAAAUGCCACUUAUAUAAUAUUUAUUACAUGCUGGGCAUCCCACUAUAUGGCUGACAGGUGCAGUACCGCACAGAGCCUGUUAAUAGGGGAGGCACUGCAUGCGAGGGUCAUCAAUUAUUGAUUAUAAUAGGUUUCAUAUUCGUUAAACAGAGAAUUCUACUGAACUUGAAAACAAAUAUCAAAAAUUGGAAUUAAAACAUUCUCCAGCUUUUAUCUAGGCACACCGGGAUUGUUUUAGGCAGAAUUCCACAAUUCGGCUAUCGGUUUAUUAAAAUUAGCUAUUUGUUAAUAAAACCAUACAAAGACAGGUAUAUAGGAGCACUUAGAGUGAACCUACAGCUCUACCAGGAGAUGUGGAUAGCAGUAUAUCUAGAUCAAAUAUAUUAUAUGAAGUCUAAAGUAGAAUGAGUAUUCAGAGAUAUCAGGGUUAUGCCCUGAGACAUCCCUAGCGUCUCUCACGGAUGCUUCGAUAAUUGGGAUCACUUGGACACGAAUAAUUUGUAUUGUGUCAGAAGUGGCUCCUACUUAUUAUCCUGUUCUUACAUACUAUUUGUUAAGAAAUCCCAAUAUAUCGAUAUUUAUUGCUCCUUACGAUUCCCCCCUGAGGGAUUAUUCACUAAACUGGACAUUGUGGAGAACAGACCUUACAAAUGAGCACAGCUGGACUGUUUUUAACUAGUUUUGCCCAAAAUUUGCAGUUUCUCUCUCGAUUCUCCGCAUUUUAGUUUGGUAAAUAUGCUGGCUCUGAGUAUUGUUUUCCCCUGGGUUUCAACGUAGUUGUUUUUGCAGCAAGAAACAGCCCAUUGGAAUUCUGGAACAAACAGCGGAUUAUACACUAAGCUCCGAAAACCAUACUGCAAAAUGGGCACAAAAACUGCGGAUUUGGAAAAAGUGCUCCACCCAGCUAGUCACAGAUUGGCUAUUUUGGCGUUAGGACAGUCGCUUUAAAACGUCUGAGCGAUAUUAACACUUGGUAAAAGGGUUAAAUUACAAUGAAAUGUCAUCAGUUUAUUCACUAGUACCAUAUUUUACUCAGUAGCAAAAUUAUAUAUUUUUAUUUAUUUUGUCCCCCAAAUAUCAUUGGCCGUACAACGUGAAACAACUUUCCAUUCUAAUCAAUAACGCGUUCUGUAUGGUUUGAGUUCCCCCAUACCAUUACGCGGAGGGUUGGGAUAGAUCCCGGGGGUAAUUCACUGAAUUUUACUUACCAGUGCCAGAUUAGUGAUUAUUUCUACACACAACGUACCAUAUUCAUUUAUAGAGUACGGCAUCUGGUUUGAAAAUGAUUUAUUGCGGUGUUUCCACAAAGCAGCUCAUGUCAUCUAUAAAAUAAUAUUUUCCGUCAUAUCUCUAGCAGGCAGAGUAGCGCUGUACAUGGGAUUUUGAGUACACACCUGUAGAGUUCACAAUGUAUUUUUUUCCUCGCCAGUAUUACUCAUUCAGUGCUAUUUUACAGGCAAUGCAGCAUUAUGUCCACAAUCAAAUAUGUGAUCAGUAGCUUAAUGCUCCCUAUAGCGCUCCGGUCUGCACACAAUGUACUAUGCACAAACAGACACAGCCAACUAUGUGCGCACACCAAUGGUCUUGGCGCGCACACUCUCAGAUGUACAUAGAUAGAUCUAGCCCGAUUCAGCCAUUAUCACUAUGGUGACAGUGACUUAGGCACAGGGAGGAAUCCAUCACGGCGGUUUCUAUUGGACUGGAUUCCAAACUCGAUAAGAACAUCUAGACUUUCUAAGUUCUUGUAAAACCUUUAUUUUUAGUCUAUUGUGCACACAAAUCCUGUCUAUUACAGGGCUUUUUUCCCCCAAAUUCCUGUUCGAUGUCUGAUGCUCUACUUGGCGGCUUUGCCAUUUUACCCUGUUUUACGCCAAAUUCAGAUUUUGUGUUUUUCCGGGAGGGUACAGGUUCUGCCUCCACAGAGUGGGUGUAUUGUAUUUGCAACAAGCCCCAUCAUUUCAAACAAUUAUUUAUAUAUACAAGAAUUAGAUAUCAAACAGAGCAUGGGACAGAGAAGGCUGUGGGUAUGGGGUACAGGAGAGAUCCCAAUAUAGGAGAGGAUGUUGGUAUGAAAUCCCAGUAUAGGAGGCUAUGGGUAUGGGGUAGAGGAGAGAUCCCAGUAUAGGAGGCUAUGGGUAUGGGGUAGAGGAGAGAUCCCAGUAUAGGAGGCUGUGGGUAUGGGGUAGAGGAGAGAACCCAGUAUAGGAGAGCCUGUGGGUAUGGGGUACAGGAGAGAUCCCAGUAUAGGAGGCUAUGGGUAUGGGGUAGAGGAGAGAACCCAGUAUAGGAGAGCCUGUGGGUAUGGGGUACAGGAGGUUUCCCAGUAUACGGGAGGCUGUGGGUAUGGGGUACAGGAGUUGUCCCAGUAUAGGGGAGGCUGUGGGUAUGGGGUACAGGAGUUGUCCCACUGGGUAUGGGGUACAGGAGAGAUCCCAGUAUAGGAGAGGCUGUGGGUUUGUGGUACAGGAAAGAUCCCAGUAUAGGGAAGGUUGUGGGAAUGGGAUACAGGAGUUGUCCCAGUAUCGGGAAAACUGUGGGUAUGGGGUACAGGAGUUGUCCCAGUAUAGGGGAGUCUGUGAGUAUGGGGUACAGGAGGUGUUCCAGUAAAUGGAAGGCUGUGGGUAUGGGGUACAGGAGUUGUCCCAGUAUACGGAAGGCUGUGGCUAUGGGGUACAGGGGUUGUCCCAGUAUAGGAGAGGCUGUGGCUAUGGGGUACAGGGGUUGUCCCAGUAUAGGAGAGGCUGUGGGUAUGGGGUACAGGAGUUGUCCCAGUAUACAGAAGGCUGUGGCUAUGGGGUACAGGGGUUGUCCCAGUAUGGGAGAGGCUGUGGCUAUGGGGUACAGGAGUUGUCCCAGUAUGGGAGAGGCUGUGGGUAUGGGGUACAGGAGGUGUCCCAGUAUACAGAAGGCUGUGGCUAUGGGGUACAGGGGUUGUCCCAGUAUAGGAGAGGCUGUGGGUAUGGGGUACAGGAGGUUUCCCAGUAUAGGAGAGGCUGUGGCUAUGGGGUACAGGAGUUGUCCCAGUAUACAGAAGGCUGUGGCUACGGGGUACAGGAGUUGUCCCAGUAUACAGAAGGCUGUGGCUAUGGGGUACAGGGGUUGUCCCAGUAUAGGAGAGGCUGGGCUAUGGGGAAUGGAAGAAGUCCCAAUAGAUGUCAGACUGCAGACGCACAUUGUGUACCUUUUGUAACCGAUAUUAAAUGCCGCUAUAUAUAUAUAUAACACACACAGCUAUGCACAUGCACCUAACUCUGGGCUAUGCACACACUGAACAUACUAUUUGCACGUUUUUUUCACUGUUUUGUGACUUCUCGUUUUGUACGUUGGGGGUGUGACUUGUUUUCUAAAAUGGGUGUGAGUCAGUGCCCAAGAUUUGCACGCUGGCACUGCAUUUAUGCAAGGUUUGUGUUUUUUGUAACUUUAUCACAUUUCAUGAUUUUUAAUAAUAAGAUGUCACUGGACAGUGGAUGGGAUGGCUGUGUAAUCCUUUGCUGGUCUGUGUUGGUGGGGACAUUGCUCUGUUAAUUUACGCAGCUUUUAAAUCUAUGUACCCCAGCAGUGAGCAGAUCAGUGGUCUGCAGGCUUCUCCGGGCUGCAUGACGUAGCUUGGGGUUGAGCAGUUGACUAUAAAUGAGUUGUGAAGAGAGAAAUUCUCUUCCUACACGAGUGAGUAGGGAAAUGGUUUAGAGCAGAGGGAGCAUAGCCUCAUGGGAGUUGUAGUUCCUAAACAGCUGGAGAUCUACCUUUUGGCUGUCCUACCUAAAGUAUGUUUAGCUUGCAGGCUUUCAUUCACCAGUAGAACAUGUCACCACCGGAGGUUUCUCGUGUUGUAAUGAUGAAUACUUAUUGUAUAAGGACUGUGUGUGUAGCUUUGCAGGGAUCACUGGCAUAGCGCCAUUGUUUAUUGAGAUGGCUUCCUGGAUGCCUGGGCUAAUUGGAGGACAGAGUGACUUAUUAGAUGAUAUUUAAUGCGUCAAUGGAAAGAAGUAAAUAUUAAAAUCUGCCCAUAAUUAUGCCACAGCAGUGGGCAUUUAAUUUUAAAUUUCACCAAGGCAGCCAUGGUAGAUGUACCAAUUUCGGGGUUUGAAGAAUUAUUAUAACUAUUAUGAUAUUUAAAGAGCGCCUUCACCUGGGUGACAUCUCCAAGUGGUAGCAAUCGAGUGGCUCACUAUGUUUAAUGAGAAAUCAUGUACCUGUGAGGCUAUUGUUGACGAAUUUUGAAGAACAUUUGGAAGUAUGUCCACAAAGGUUGUGAGCAGAAUUAAUGGCUUUCUACUGGUAGAGUCAGCUAAAAGAAGUCAGCUAAUCUAAGUAUUGCGAUUGUUGAAUUGUCAAGAGGUGGAAAGGGAAGACCUAUCGACUAUCUAGUUAAUUAGUGGACUAUGCGGACUCCUCAAAUAGUAAAUAGCAUGAGGAAUGUUACUACAGUUAAAGAUGUGAUCUUGACCAAUUCUCCAGUAAUGUUGAGAGGAUACUGAUGAAAAAGAUGGUUACUUAGUUAGGUAUGAGUUACGAGUUGGUUAAAAGUGAAUUAUUGGGGGAGCAGCUGACUUGCUUGGAUAUUUGGUAUGAAGUAGAUGGCUGCAGGUAUAUUACCAGGCAUGUCCCCAGUCUUACCAGCUGAAGGUAGUUCUGCUGUUUGCGUUGGGUCUGGCGUGGGGAAAAGGGGCUCACCGUAUUUGCAUGUCACAGCCUCCUCCUGAAACCUGCACUCAAUAAAUGCAAAUUAAACUA